GAGCGCAACCCUUGUUAUUAGUUGCCAGCAUUUAGUUGGGCACUCUAAUGAGACUGCCGGUGAUAAACCGGAGGAAGGUGGGGACGACGUCAGAUCAUCAUGCCCCUUAUGACCUGGGCAACACACGUGCUACAAUGGGAAGUACAACGAGUCGCAAACCGGCGACGGUAAGCUAAUCUCUUAAAACUUCUCUCAGUUCGGACUGGAGUCUGCAACUCGACUCCACGAAGGCGGAAUCGCUAGUAAUCGCGAAUCAGCAUGUCGCGGUGAAUACGUUCCCGGGUCUUGUACACACCGCCCGUCAAAUCAUGGGAGUCGGAAGUACCCAAAGUCGCUUGGCUAACUUUUAGAGGCCGGUGCCUAAGGUAAAAUCGAUGACUGGGAUUAAGUCGUAACAAGGUAGCCGUAGGAGAACCUGCGGCUGGAUCACCUCCUUUCUAAGGA
rnacentral:rRNA from 1 species